GAUUUUCACUUUUCUUUUCCUUUUUCCUCUCUUGCUUUCACAUACGAGAGAAAACAUAUGCUCCCUUGACCUUAUGAGUUUAGCUUAUUUUGUGUAACAGAGUGUUCUCAAGUUUCAUCCGUUUUCCAGCAAAUGACAUAAUUCACCUUUAUGGCUGAAUAAAGCUCCAUUCUGUGUAUAUGCCACAUUUUCUUUAUUUAUUCAUCCUUGAUAAGCACCUAGUUUGGUUCCAUAGUUUGGCAACUGUGAAUUGUGCUGCUAUAAACAUGGGUAUGCAUGUACUACUCUAGUAUUAUGACUUUAAUUCUUUAGGAUAAACAUUGAGUAGUUGUAUAGCUGGGUUAUAUGGUGGUUUCCUGCCUAGUCUUUUGAGGAACCUCCAUACUGAUUUCAAUAGUGGUUAU
rnacentral:lncRNA from 1 species